ensembl:lncRNA
AACUUUCCAUGAGUUUGCUAGCAUGGAAGAUGAUAUUCCUUUGCCAGGGAAUGUACUGUGAUUAGCAGACAUCCUCAGGAAUGGAGAAUGGGUCUUAGUGUUGUAACCACUGCAGCUAAUUGCAAGCAAUCCAAACACAGCACCCACAGCAAGCUAUAUCAAAUGUGCAUGUUCUUUGUGCGUGGUGCUGCAAUGCAGAAAGCCUCCCAGCUCACCUCAGAGCAGUUGGCAGUAGCCAGUGACCUACUACUGGCUACCUUCAGUCAAAACUUAGUGGCUUGGCAGGAGUACAAAUGAUGUGCUAGGUACUCCCAAUCUUGGAAAUUUGUGUAAAUGUAUCUGAAGUGGCUCUACAUGUGUGGCAUGGAGCUAGCCCCACUGCUUCCAUAGCACCUAACAGCUGGGCCAAGGCUGCCUAAAACAGCUGGAAAUGCAACCACAUCAUUGACAAUAAAGAUUAUCUGUUAAAAUAAAUAUGAAUAUUAAUAAUUUGAUGGAGUGGCCUUCUUCAGAUUAAGAGCCAUUGGUGAAGAAUCUUAAAAACUUGACCAGUAAAGAUAUUCUUCAGUACAAUAAUGCAUAAUCCCAUUUAGGAUAUACAACCUUUUUUUUUUUUUUUUUGGCUGCUUCAUGUAGCAAGUAAAAGAAAAUGUUUACAGGUUCAUCUUUUUUUUUCUCUACACCAUAGUUGGUAUAAGGAGUUAGUAUUUUAGUGUCUAAAAUGAUUUGAUUAGAAAUAUUGCAAAAACCUAUGGUUCUGUAAUUCUACAGUGAUGCCUGAUAUUUCUUACUCCAGUCAUUUUCCCUAGAGAUAAAUAAUGAGGACUUAUAUUCUCCUGCCAACUUUUAAAACUACAGGAUGUUUUGUAGAAGACAACGUGCAGGAUCCUGAGCAAUUUGCCUCUGAAGUCAGGGAGCAUCUUGUAAGUAGGUAUAAUUUCAGUAUUGAUGUAAAGACAUACUGGACAUUUUUGCAUCCCUGGUGGAAUACUUAAUUGUGUUCAUCGCUCACAGCGCAAUGGAAGUUUACUGUAGCUCGAACAGGACUCCAAGGCAGGCUAAUGAUGAUGUGCAGAUGAUGUUUGUGCCACACCAAUUUGCAAAUGAUUGUUGUCAGUAAGUUACCCAACUAUGAACUGUCAGCCUGUGGUGGUUCCCUCAGGUGGGUGGAAACUGAAAUUUAUACCAAAUAAUCAUGUUCACGUUGACAAAUAUAACGGAAUCAAUGAUGGCUGCAGUGCCCUAUCAAGACCAACCAACGCAAUAGAUUUAAGACAUGUUCCCUAUCCCAACCUUUAAAAGUUGGCACACUAGAAGGAUAAAGCACUCCAGAGCCCGGUACUAUAGGUACAGUCGCACAGUGCAGCUCCUGCUGUCUGACAAAAUGAAUACCACUUUCAUAACUAUGUUGGAUUCCUCUUUUCAAGCAAAAUUAAUAGAUGUGAUGUUUCCACGAAUGGCUUUGUGCUGACUAUAUGGAAAUAGCCAAGGGUGGUUUUAUAAAUAUUUUUUUAGAACUUGGGACAAGGCUUUCCCUCCCUAUUGUUCUUAACAGAGUUUGGCAGAGCUAAACCCACAUAAAAUAUUACUGAAAAUUCUCACGUUCCACAGCUGAGUUGUUACUGCAUAUUGGUCUCUGUAGUAUUUAAUUACUAAUUGAUCCACAUGGUGGAAAACAGAAUUAAAUAGAAUACUUUUUGUUCUUUUGAACUGAAUAUUGUAUCUCAGUGGCACUGACUAAAAUAAAUUUCCUUCUUAUAUCUUUCAUAGUUCUACAAAAAUAUCAUAAAAUGUUGUUGACCUCAUUUAUGGAUUUUCCCAGUAAGCCUAGAAAUACCUGCUGUAAUAUGGCACAGCAAUAAAAAGUAGGACUUUGGUGGACGGUGUUGUUUUCCUAUGGCAUCAAGUGUGAAAUCUUGAAGAAGAACAGAAGUUGUAAGAGUUUUAAUAUAUAUAACUAUUAAACUCUGAUUUCAUAUAAAAAUUCCUUUUCCAUUAUUGCCCUGAAGUGAAUAUUUAAUUGGCAGCCUGAUUUUCAGCAGGCAGCGAAGCAUACAGGUGAAUACAAAAAGGAAUUGCUUUCAUGCUGUUACCAACUACUGGUAUAUGAUUCCUCUCCAGGCUGACUCAUAUUUGCUUCAGCUGUCAGUGGAGUGUUCCUUCCUGUUUCCAGUGGCUAGCAAGCACCAAACCCACAGAUCUUUCUCUUCUGCUCCAGUCACCAGAGAAGCAGAUUGUUUCACAUGGACUGUGGUUUAUCAUCAUUUCAGCAAGUACUCAGUCUGUAAGACCCAUCGCCAAUAUUUUCCCCCACACUUCUUUUUAUCAGGUAAGAUAACUGCUACGGAGCUGUUCAAAAUGAAUUUUAUGGCAUUCUUGAUGGGUACUUCACCUCAUGUGCUAUUAGAACAAUGCACAAAAUGUUUUGAAGGAACCUAAGAGGAUAUAGGAUCUUAGAGUUACAUGGCUAUUGGAAAUGGGAUGCUAGAAUUGCAUAGAUAUUGGAAAUAGCACCUGAGGGUCAUUUCACUAACAUGCAUGGCAGAAAAGAAUAGUUGCUGACUCCUGGCUAAACAAAAGCAGAAAUAUUAUUCAGGAUGUUUGCUAUAUACAUCAUUGUCAACAGCAUCUAACAUACAAGAAAAACAGAUCCACCCUUAUCCUUGCUGUUCUCUGCCCUACUUCCUCACUGCUCUUCCCCAUCAUGUGGCUGAAUAGCAAGCACCCACCAUUGGAUGUCACGUAUGCACAGGGGCGGGAGGUGUUGCGUACCUCAGGUCAUGCAUUGGGACCCAGGCACAGGCACACACCAUGAGAGCCCUUAGUUCUGGGAGCAGAGAGGUGCAUGUAUUGGUUCUUUGAUGGUAGGGUGGGAGGCGUGGUUAGUUUGGGAGUAGUGUUUCAGUAAGAGGUUCCUGACCUCCACCUAAAGCUACAGGUGCUUUUCUUUAUAUUCUGCUAUGAGAUGUAUAUUGUACUACCUAAAGGUAGUUCUUACCUCAGCUCCACGAGAGGGAACAGACUUUAUCUGGGUCACUGAGCACAGCACUGUGACAAAAACUGUCUCCGCCACAGAAAAUGAAGUCCGUGGUUUGCUCUGGCUACAUUCUGUGAUGUGGGGCCUCCAGUUGACUCACGUUGUUGGUGGUUGGUACUUCUGGAGUCACUGCUUUCAGCAUCCAUUCCUCAUCACCACCGAUCUCCCACCAAAGGACGGGAGAGGGAACAGGCAGGGAGAGCCGUUUUGUUCCCCAGCACUCUGUGGGGGAACCUUCCUGAGGGACUCAGGUACAGGCAGGAGCCAUGUGCUAGAGGUACAAUGUAGUUGUGUCUCUCUUAUAGAACUAUACAAAGUACAAAGAUGGUGAGGAUGCAGAUGGAAUUGUGUCUAACUGCAUGUUACUGAGGAAUGAUUCCAUACUAGGAGUUUACCACAAAGAAAAAGCAAAUCCCUCCUCAGGAACGCUGGGGACGAGCAGAAAUGUCUCUCUGAGGGCUCGUCGGGCUGUGCAUGCCUCACGGGGCCGCAGAUAAAGACUUCACCCUAUGGUACUAUGCAGAUUUAAUGCAUUUAUGCAAGUUUAUGAAUAACUCAUAGGAAAAAAAAAAUCUAUGAUUGUGUUUUC